rnacentral:rRNA from 1 species
UACGUAGGGGGCAAGCGUUGUCCGGAAUUAUUGGGCGUAAAGAGCGUGUAGGCGGCCUUACAGGUCAGCUGUGAAAACUCGAGGCUCAACCUCGAGACGUCGGUUGAAACCGUAAGGCUAGAGUCCGGAAGAGGAGAGUGGGAAUUCCCGGUGUAGCGGUGAAAUGACGCAGAUAUCGGGAAGAACACCCGUGGCGAAGGCGGCUCUCGUGGGACGGUACUGACGCUGAGACGCGAAAGCGUGGGGAGCGAACGAGG